AAAUCGUACCCCAAACCGACACAGGUGGUCAGGUAGAGAAUACCAAGGCGCUUGAGAGAACUCGGGUGAAGGAACUAGGCAAAAUGGUGCCGUAACUUCGGGAGAAGGCACGCUGGUGUGUAGGUGAAGUCCCUGCGGAUGGAGCUGAGACCAGUCGAAGAUACCAGCUGGCUGCAACUGUUUAUUAAAAACACAGCACUGUGCAAACACGAAAGUGGACGUAUACGGUGUGACGCCUGCCCGGUGCCGGAAGGUUAAUUGAUGGGGUUAUCCGUAAGGAGAAGCUCUUGAUCGAAGCCCCGGUAAACGGCGGCCGUAACUAUAACGGUCCUAAGGUAGCGAAAUUCCUUGUCGGGUAAGUUCCGACCUGCACGAAUGGCGUAAUGAUGGCCAGGCUGUCUCCACCCGAGACUCAGUGAAAUUGAACUCGCUGUGAAGAUGCAGUGUACCCGCGGCAAGACGGAAAGACCCCGUGAACCUUUACUAUAGCUUGACACUGAACAUUGAGCCUUGAUGUGUAGGAUAGGUGGGAGGCUUUGAAGCGUGGACGCCAGUCUGCGUGGAGCCAACCUUGAAAUACCACCCUUUAAUGUUUGAUGUUCUAACGUUGGCCCCUGACCGGGGUUGCGGACAGUGUCUGGUGGGUAGUUUGACUGGGGCGGUCUCCUCCCAAAGCGUAACGGAGGAGCACGAAGGUUAGCUAAUCCUGGUCGGACAUCAGGAGGUUAGUGCAAUGGCAUAAGCUAGCUUGACUGCGAGCGUGACGGCGCGAGCAGGUGCGAAAGCAGGUCAUAGUGAUCCGGUGGUUCUGAAUGGAAGGGCCAUCGCUCAACGGAUAAAAGGUACUCCGGGGAUAACAGGCUGAUACCGCCCAAGAGUUCAUAUCGACGGCGGUGUUUGGCACCUCGAUGUCGGCUCAUCACAUCCUGGGGCUGAAGUAGGUCCCAAGGGUAUGGCUGUUCGCCAUUUAAAGUGGUACGCGAGCUGGGUUUAGAACGUCGUGAGACAGUUCGGUCCCUAUCUGCCGUGGGCGCUGGAGAAUUGAGGGGGGCUGCUCCUAGUACGAGAGGACCGGAGUGGACGCAUCACUGGUGUUCGGGUUGUCAUGCCAAUGGCACUGCCCGGUAGCUAAAUGCGGAAGAGAUAAGUGCUGAAAGCAUCUAAGCACGAAACUUGCCCCGAGAUGAGUUCUCCCUGAGACUUUAAGUCUCCUGAAGGAACGUUAAAGACGAUGACGUUGAUAGGCCGGGUGUGUAAGCGCAGCGAUGCGUUGAGCUAACCGGUACUAAUGAACCGUGAGGCUUAACCUU
rnacentral:rRNA from 1 species